rnacentral:lncRNA from 1 species
UUGAACUAGAUAAAACUUCAUUCAAUUUCAAACAACAACCUUGUAACGAUUUCUCUACUCUUUUCUCUUUUUAUUCUUCUUUUUUUCAGAAGGAAUAUGUAUUAGCAUCUUUCUUUUCUGUUUCCAUUUUUUCUUAUUUUUAUAUUUCUUUAUUUCUUUAUUUUUUAUUUUCUGUCAACCUUUGAAUGAAAUAUCACAUUAUAAUUAUUCAACCUCAUACAACUUCAAACAAGAGUCUUUCAACUCUUUGAAUAGGGUGAUAACAUUGUUUUUCACUUUUAGGCUUGUAAUGAG